rnacentral:rRNA from 1 species
GUGUCAGCAGCCGCGGUAAGACGAACCGUGCGAACGUUGUUCGGAAUCACUGGGCUUAAAGGGCGCGUAGGCGGGCUUGAUAGUCCGUGGUGAAAGCCCCCGGCUUAACCGGGGAAGUGCCAUGGAUACUGCAAGCCUGGAGGAGGGUAGGGGCAUCUGGAACGCUGGGUGGAGCGGUGAAAUGCGUUGAUAUCCAGCGGAACUCCGGUGGCGAAGGCGAGGUGCUGGACCCUUUCUGACGCUGAUGCGCGAAAGCCAGGGGAGCAAACGGGAUUAGAAACCCUCGUAGUCC